AUAAUAGGGCAAAGCCGUUGAAAAGCGGUGACGCAAAGCUCAGGUGUCUAAACAGUAUACUAUAUGACAGACCGGCUGC
rnacentral:ncRNA from 1 species